rnacentral:rRNA from 1 species
GACGAACGCUGGCGGCGUGCUUAACACAUGCAAGUCGAACGGAAAGGCCCUGCUUGCAGGGUGCUCGAGUGGCGAACGGGUGAGUAACACGUGGGUGAUCUGCCCCUUACUUUGGGAUAAGCCUGGGAAACUGGGUCUAAUACUGGAUAGGACCAUGCUGUAGGUGGUGUGGUGGAAAGAUUUUUUCGGUAAGGGAUGAGCUCGCGGCCUAUCAGCUUGUUGGUGGGGUAAUGGCCUACCAAGGCGUCGACGGGUAGCCGGCCUGAGAGGGUGGACGGCCACAUUGGGACUGGGAUACGGCCCAGACUCCUACGGGAGGCAGCAGUGGGGAAUAUUGCACAAUGGGCGCAAGCCUGAUGCAGCGACGCCGCGUGGGGGAUGACGGCCUUCGGGUUGUAAACUCCUUUCAGCCAUGACGAAGCCUCUUUUGGGGUGACGGUAGUGGUAGAAGAAGCACCGGCUAACUACGUG